UACGAAGGGUGCAAGCGUUAAUCGGAAUUACUGGGCGUAAAGCGUGCGUAGGCGGUUUUUUAAGUCUGCUGUGAAAUCCCCCGGCUCAACCGGGGAAGUGGCGUGGAUACGACCGGGCUGGAGGGAGGUAGGGGGAGCCGGAACUUCCGGUGGAGCGGUGAAAUGCGUUGAGAUCGGAAGGAACGCCCGUGGCGAAGGCGGGUCUCUGGGCCGAUACUGACGCUGAGGAGCGAAAGCGUGGGGAGCGAACAGG
rnacentral:rRNA from 1 species